rnacentral:lncRNA from 1 species
AUUAUGACCAUAUCUUGAGGAAUUUUUUUUUUGAAAAAGGGAAAGGGGGGGGGGGGUGAAAAAAAAUUAGGGGGGAUAAGACAUUGUUGGAGGGGACAAUUUUUUCUCAUUUCAGAUUUCAGAAAUUUCUUCAAAUCUUAUUUUUUUUGUAAAAGAAAGUGCUGGACUCGGGGUGGGGAUCAAUUCGCAACAGCAUUGUGUAUAACACAAAAGCAAAAAAAUACAAAUCAUAUAGAACCAAUUUUAAGCUCUUCGACUACAGUUAUUCUUUGUCAGAAACCUAUUAUGUGUCAAAUAUUUAAUUACAAUCCAAAUUCAGACCUGUAUCAAGUGCUAAUAUUGUGUCCAUUUUUGCCCAAACUGUUCAAGGUUGGACCUCUGCCGUCGUAUCUAGCUGCGCUCAGCGAAGCAAUUUCUUUUUUCAUAUAUCUUAUAUAGUGCCCCUCUAAGCUUAACACUGGUAUUGAAAUACCGAAAGUUGUGUUUUCAUACAUACAAUUUGGUAAACGUCUUCAUGAAUGCUUAGCAUAUGUUGGGCAACAUCUCAUUAUGUUCCUUUUCGAACCAGUUUACAUUUCAAUUUUAACUUUAAAAUUUGUUAAAGGUAUGUAAUAACACACUCAACACCGGCA